CAUAGGUUAAUGAGGCGAACCGGGGGAACUGAAACAUCUAAGUACCCCGAGGAAAAGAAAUCAACCGAGAUUCCCCCAGUAGCGGCGAGCGAACGGGGAGGAGCCCAGAGCCUGAAUCAGUGUGUGUGUUAGUGGAAGCGUCUGGAAAGGCGCGCGAUACAGGGUGACAGCCCCGUACACAAAAAUGCACAUACUGUGAGCUCGAUGAGUAGGGCGGGACACGUGGUAUCCUGUCUGAAUAUGGGGGGACCAUCCUCCAAGGCUAAAUACUCCUGACUGACCGAUAGUGAACCAGUACCGUGAGGGAAAGGCGAAAAGAACCCCGGCGAGGGGAGUGAAAAAGAACCUGAAACCGUGUACGUACAAGCAGUGGGAGCCUCUUAAUGGGGUGACUGCGUACCUUUUGUAUAAUGGGUCAGCGACUUAUAUUCUGUAGCAAGGUUAACCGAAUAGGGGAGCCGAAGGGAAACCGAGUCUUAACUGGGCGUUAAGUUGCAGGGUAUAGACCCGAAACCCGGUGAUCUAGCCAUGGGCAGGUUGAAGGUUGGGUAACACUAACUGGAGGACCGAACCGACUAAUGUUGAAAAAUUAGCGGAUGACUUGUGGCUGGGGGUGAAAGGCCAAUCAAACCGGGAGAUAGCUGGUUCUCCCCGAAAGCUAUUUAGGUAGCGCCUCGUGAAUUCAUCUCCGGGGGUAGAGCACUGUUUCGGCAAGGGGGUCAUCCCGACUUACCAACCCGAUGCAAACUGCGAAUACCGGAGAAUGUUAUCACGGGAGACACACGGCGGGUGCUAACGUCCGUCGUGAAGAGGGAAACAACCCAGACCGCCAGCUAAGGUCCCAAAGUCAUGGUUAAGUGGGAAACGAUGUGGGAAGGCCCAGACAGCCAGGAUGUUGGCUUAGAAGCAGCCAUCAUUUAAAGAAAGCGUAAUAGCUCACUGGUCGAGUCGGCCUGCGCGGAAGAUGUAACGGGGCUAAACCAUGCACCGAAGCUGCGGCAGCGACACUAUGUGUUGUUGGGUAGGGGAGCGUUCUGUAAGCCUGUGAAGGUGUACUGUGAGGU
rnacentral:rRNA from 1 species